UACAGAGGUCCCAAGCGUUGUUCGGAUUCAUUGGGCGUAAAGGGUGCGUAGGCGGUUGGGUAAGUUGGAUGUGAAAUCUUGGGGCUUAACCUCAAAAUUGCAUUCAAUACUGCUCCGCUCGAGUUCUGUAGAGGAGAUUGGAAUUUACGGUGUAGCAGUGAAAUGCGUAGAUAUCGUAAGGAACGCCAGUGGCGAAAGCGAAUCUCUGGGCAGCAACUGACGCUGAGGCACGAAGGCCAGGGGAGCAAACGGG
rnacentral:rRNA from 1 species